AGUGAACGCUGGCGGCAGGCCUAACACAUGCAAGUCGAGCGGCAGCGGGUCCUUCGGGAUGCCGGCGAGCGGCGGACGGGUGAGGAAUGCAUCGGAAUCUGCCCUGUCGUGGGGGAUAACCUAGGGAAACUUAGGCUAAUACCGCAUACGACCCACGGGUGAAAGCGGGGGAUCGCAAGACCUCGCGCGAUAGGAUGAGCCGAUGUCCGAUUAGCUAGUUGGCGGGGUAAAGGCCCACCAAGGCGACGAUCGGUAGCUGGUCUGAGAGGAUGAACAGCCACACUGGGACUGAGACACGGCCCAGACUCCUACGGGAGGCAGCAGUGGGGAAUAUUGGACAAUGGGCGCAAGCCUGAUCCAGCCAUGCCGCGUGGGUGAAGAAGGCCUUCGGGUUGUAAAGCCCUUUUGUCCGGGAAGAAAUCGUCUGGGCUAAUACCCCGGGCGGAUGACGGUACCGGAAGAAUAAGCACCGGCUAACUUCGUG
rnacentral:rRNA from 1 species